AAUCUUAAACUGGCAUUCAACAGAUACAAAGCAAUGCUACUCCGUUGGGAGUUGGCAGUCUAGUGAUGAUCUAUGAGCUUUUUGUUAUUGGCUUGUAAUGAGACAGGUAUAGAAACUAAAUUAUAUUUGUGUUACUUACCAGUGGUAAGCAACUAUUAUAAAAUUUGGUAUUACUGAAACAUACAAGCACAUAAUCAGACACAUUUUUGGAGCAGAAUAUAGAAUAGCUCAGGUGCUUUUCAUUUCGUUUUUCUAGUAGUUGAUUUUUAUCAUAUUUUACUGAAGUAUUGGCCUUCUAUGAAAUGUAAAAAGAAACUGGUUCUUUACUGCAGAUGAUUUGAGAAGCACUGAUGGAGAAGUCGAGUUCCUUAUUCAGAUAUUAAGCCAAUCUUACUCUUUCCAAUGUCAUCUUGGUGACCCAAUUGUGACAAGAAUGUCCAGAUACAGUUUGGUGUUGUGAACUGGUUGGCUUCCCCGUUUUGCAGAGUAGAAAACUGCUUCAAGAUAUUGAUAUAUAUCUGCUGGAGAUAAAGGAACACAGUGGAUUGCUAUCUGAGCUCACCUGAGAAAUCUGAAUGUAGAAAUCUGCAGUUACUGGCCUGAAAUACCAGUACACAGAGAAAUAUGUCAGCACUUCAACUGACUAUGGGUAGCAAGGAUUGUCAAAAUUUUCUUUUGGAUCACAUAUUGACCAUUUAGGAGAAAUUGUCAUUGUGGAAUCACUUAAAAAUAACAUUUUGUCCAAUAAGACCUUUAGAAAACAUGGGACCCAGAUAAAUGUUGAAACCUCAGAAUUAGGAGGAAACUUUACAAGCUGUCAGCUAGAGGCAGAUUCAACCAUAUCACAGGAAAUGUGGUAGAAGUUCCGAGUAAGGAAUUAUUUCAGCAGCCAUGAAAGCUCCCUGCAUAAGAAAGACUCAGUGUGCAACAUCUGAAAGCAGUAUUGCCAGAGCAUGACUGUGGCAAUGAAGCAAGAUGUUCCCUCCACCUAUCCCUCCCUCCCCAGUAUAAUGCUUGAAGGGUCAGUCACUGAAAUAAGUAGAGAGAAAAGUGUUUGCUGAAAGAGCUAAUACAUAAGUCAACCUUCACUGGUACCAAUGAAGGCUUCCCAGUUCAAAAUUCAACACCCAGAAAAGGCAGAAAUUUUAGCUUUAAAUUAAGUUUAAAUUUUCAGUUAUCCCAGUGGACUAGGCAUUUAAAUUUGAGGAGUUCCCUGAGAUUCCAUAUGAGGAAAUGAAAAACAUUAGCUUGUGGAUUAAAUUUAAAGAGACUGUAAGGAGAAAAACAUAUUUUAUGACAUGCCUCUUAAGGACUCCUAUUAUUUCAAUGAAUUUGUUACAGUUAUAAUAUGCUUGUGAUAAAAAGGCAUUAUUUAUUAAGAAAUCUAAAAUGUAAUAAUAUUUCAAUUAUAUAGUUUUAGAGAACCUUUCUUGCCCAACACUUUUCUGAUAGCAAGUUGGACAUCCUUGUUUCUGAGGCUAUAAACCAUGGGGUUUAGUAAUGGAGUGACAAUCGUGUAUGUCACCGUCACCAGCCUGUCUUUGUUGGACACAUAGUUUGCUGUAGGCCUCAGGUAGAUGAAGGAAGCACAGCCAUAAUGAACAAUAACAACACUGAGGUGAGAGGCGCAGGUGGAAAACGCUUUCCGUCUGCCCUCAGCUGAGGGAAUCUUCAGGAUAGUCCUCAGAAUGCAGAGAUAAGAAACACAGAUAAACAGAAAGGGAACCACAAGUACAAGAACUCCACAAAUGAAUAUCACAAAUUCGUUAACAUCUGUGUUGGUACAAGCCAGAAGAAUGACUGCUGAGAUGUCACAGAAGUAAUGAUUGACUUUGUUGGCGCUACAAAAAGGGAGGCUGAAAACUAAAUUUACUACUGUAAGAGAGGCCAAGAAGCCACCAAUUGCACAGGCAGCUGCCAGUUUUCCACACACCUGCCAGCUCAUAAGAGUGGGGUAAUGCAGAGGGUGACAAAUGGCAGCAUAGCGAUCAUAACCCAUCACACCCAAUAGCAGGCAGUUGGUAAUGGCAAAACCAAGGAAGAAGAACAUUUGAAGAGCACAACAGUUGAAGGAGAUUGUCCUGGCCACAGAAAGUAGAUUGAUGAGCAUCUUGGGUAGAAUGACAAAGGUGUAGAAGGUCUCAGAUGUUGAGAGAAUGCCAAGGAAGAAGUACAUUGGUGUGUGGAGGCUUUUAUCCAGGUGGAUGACACUGAUAAUGGUGACAUUGCCACUAAGAAUGACUAGAUACAGAAAAAGAAAAACUACAAAGAGGGCCAGCUGAAUUUCACCAAGGCUGGAAAAACCCAGCAACAGGAAUUCGGUGACCAUGGUGAGGUUUUCUGCCAAGAUCUGCAAAGGGGGAAAGAAGUAAAACAUAUUCAGAUAGAACUACAAAAAUAGAAUACACACUCAAUGGGCUGACCAACUGAUUCAUAACAUCUUUAUUGGAGAAUGAACUUUCUUUUUCUCUCCAGGCCCCCUGUAACCCCUGUCUGGUAUUUUCUACAUGACUGAUUCCUCUCUAGAGCCAGAACUAUGGAAUCUUAAGAGAAUCUGUAUUUCUUUAAAAAGAAUAAAUAUCUUAUGACACUCUUUA
ensembl:lncRNA novel transcript